GCCGUAGAUCGAGAUUGGAGAAUACAGAGGUGGUUAAAAAUGCUAAUCAAGGCAUUUGAAAGGGUGACAUCACUAAUGAUUAUUAGGAAUACCGCUUCAUCAUAUCCAUCUACUUGCAGAAUGAGAAUCGAUUCUACAGCUGUUGAUGAAUUUUCGGAAUCAGAGUUGAUUCCUUCUUAUUUCUUUGAAAAAGUUUCAACUGUCGUUAAUUCAAUUACUUCCGCUGUCGACGAUGAAGAAGGUACUCUCAAUUUAGGGUUGAUUUCCCCAUACUUCCUUCAUGAGAAGAAUAAUUUGUCUGUUGAUGAGAGUUUACAGUAUGAGAAAGUGGUGAAAACUGAUGUUAUCGAAGUCAUCAACAAAUUUCUAGGUAGGGCUUGUUUUCACUUCAAACUUGAUGUUUCUCGUUUGUUAUUCGAUCGAGGUAAACGUGCUCUUAGAUUAAUUCUUCGAUUACUUCUUAUCUUUGGGUAUAAAUCAGAUUUUUCAUCUGUGCAAUCAUUUCAAUUUUUAUGUGUUAAUGAUUCCAAAUUUUAUGAUGAGAGGAAGUUGUUUGUUCAUAUAGCUAAGAGAAAUAGAAUUUUGAUUGUCAUAUGAACUAGGGUAUAUGAACCUGACAUGGUACAAGAAUUAUUGGGUACUCUGCCUGAUAGUGUUUUGUGGAUCUGGAAUGAUGGUGGUUUUUUUUUCUAUCCUUGUGUUGUUUGCACUUUUUCUGUAUUUGAUCAUGGAAAGCGAAUUGAGCUUAUUCAGGGAACUACUCGUUCUGUAGAUAAUUCUGAAUUCUCUGUUGGUAGUUCUUUUUCAUUGAUACUCAAUGUAUGUCAUAAUUCAUGGUAUAUAAACAAUAUUGCUUUACUCUUUGAGUUAACGCUGGACGGUUGCAAGUUGUGUGAGAAAAUGUGGCAUCCUGGUAAACCUCCCUGGUCUUGGUUGGUACUUCAAGUGACAGGUCAUCAUGCAGCUGGUACUGGGAGGGAAUUAUUCGAUCAAAAACAUCAUAGUAAUAUAUACAAUUUCUGUGAUUCUUUACUCUUACAGUUGGGAGGUGGUUUACAAACAUCUUUGCAUAUUUGUGUUGCUACAAACCAAUAUAAUGUUGAGUCACAGAUCAUAUCCAAGAGACUUACCUGUAAGUUUGUGUUUCUUGCUCUUCGUGCCAGCAAGCUGGGUGAUGAGUCUUUGCAGCAGAAAAUCAGAUUAGGCUUUCUUAAUCUCAGUUUGUGGAGUAUAGCAUGUAGUGGUGUUUUCACUUGGCUACCAGAAGAACCUAACUCUACAUAAUAGCAAUGAAUGUUGUUCUGGCUGGAAAAAGUCUCUUGUCAAGGGGGUGAAAAUUACAGAUGUUGUGCAGCCUUGUUCCAAGGUUGUUGAGAAGCUUAUUAUAGGGCAGCUAAUCUCGAGCAACACAUUAAGUGGCAAUUACAUGUUGUACCGGUUCCGAGCUACAUUUCAGCAACGGCUACAAGAAGUGGUCUAGAAACAUUACAUGCAAGCUUGUUGAUAACUUCCAAGAUGUUGCAGACGGCAUGUAGGAAGCAUUAUUCUGCAGUAACCGUGGUCUGGGGUAUGACAGUUCAUUUCUGCACUGGCCUGGAUAGUGGUGUAGGAGGCACACUGUUAAGAGGUUAUGUCAGGAUUUUCAGAACGAGUCUCUUUUCUCUCUCUCCUUCAAAUGCACCUGGGGUCUAUGAAAAUCUUGCUUUUGUGGAAGAAAUUGAAAUGAUUCUUCAGAUGUUAUUGUGGGUAGAGUACUUGAGCUGGAAAUACAAGUUGUUCUCAAAUGGUUGGUGGAGUACUAUGUUCUGUGAAGCUGGGAUUUGUAACCAGAUUGCUGCAAGUUGUGUUGCGGGGCUCACUUGUGUGUUGUUGAGAAGGCUUGAGAAGUUUGAAAUUCUCUUCCUUGAUAUAUUAAUUCGGUGUGUAGUGUCGGGACAGAAUUAUAGUGAUAUUCUCUCGCAACUUGAACUUAGUUUACCGACUGCUACCAAGGUCCUUUAUGGUGAAUUAUUGAAGAAUAAUGAAUUCUUAGAGUUUGUGAGCAGAUUGAACACUCCGAUCUUGCUCUCAGUACAUUAAAUUCUUUAUGGGAGGCUAUUAGUUGACUAUUUGAGGUGGAAGUUUAAAUUGGUUCCACCUGAUUUAUGGAGUCUCAGAAAUGCUAGAUGGAUUGAUAACAGUUUUAUCUCAGUUGUUUGCUUUGACGAAAACGGAAAUUAUAAACGUAAUCUGUUCUACAAAACUGAGGUCCAUCAUCAACUUGCAUCCAUUUUCAUGAACUUACCAUGUUGGCACUUAGGUACUGCAAGUGGACCAGCUCACAUUGUGUUCUACAAGGCUGCUAAGGCGCUUGAUCGCAUUGUGUUCUACAAGGCUGCUAAGGCGCUUGAUAUGUUUGUUAACAUUCUAUUUGGGCUUAUAACGAAGUAUGUUACAGUUAGUAAGUUUUGACACACGAACUGUUUGAUAAAGCAGAUAUUAUGACACACAAAGAGUUGUGCAAGCAUACCAAUCUGGAGUCUACUUACAGUUUCUGGACAUCAGCUGUUCUGUUUACCAAAGUACCUGCAUGUCGCUUCCAACAACCGGCUUCCCAGCUCGAGGAGUUAUUGAUGGAGAGUCACAGAGAGAUUGCAAUAUUCAGUGAUUCCACACCAAGGCCCAUGCUUGCUAGAGUUAUUUUCCUACUGUUACACAUCUCUCAAGCUGGUGGUAAUAAUGAUAAUGCACAUAUUCACCAUGAGGAAUUGUGCACAAGAAUAUCAGCUCAAAUUUUCCCUGGGGCAAUUCAACUUCUAUACGUGUGGAUAUGGAUAGAUUAUUUGACGUGGAAAUUCAAAUUAUCUUCCACUAGUUUGUGGAGAGUUGGACUCAGGGGUAUGGCCGCAACUUCUGAGAGAAGGAUUGAUGAUAGUGAAGUUUUAUCUAUUCGAUUGUUGCAGGUUCAUUUUAUAGACGAAAACACGCGAAUUCAGACUCAUUUCUCAACUGAUUAUGGAGAAGGAUUUCCUAUGCUCAAUGAGUCAGCACUGUCAAUAACAGAGCUAUUUUUGAAGUUAGUGAAAGGUCACAAUUCUUACUAUGUUCGACGGACGCUGCUGCAAUGCCCAGAUGCACCUACACCUUCCCUGCUACAAGACAAUCUUCCUAUUAUAUUUUCCAUCCUCGAAGACAAGGAUGUUUUCAAGGAGAGUGGAAUGUCACAGUGUAGAGGGUAGGGGCUACCAUAAUGUCUGCCAGUAGUAGUUAAUUAAGGGUGCCAUAUCAUUUUCUGUUUAGUUAAUUGUGUCCAUUGGAUAUGUGACACGUGUGUCCGAUCCGUUGAGGUAGUCGUAAGGUUAAUCUUUGGCUAUAAGGUUGUAAGAAGAGUUCAUCUCUUCGUUAUCUGAAACUUAUGAAAUGAAACCAUUGUUGGUUGCGCGUCUGAAGCACAGAUUUGACCUGAAUCAAUUGAUUUAUGAGAUGUUUAUCAUCAAUUCUAUCCUUCUAUUUGUUAACUUGUUGUAUAAUCACACCACAAUGGCUAAAAUAAGGCUUAUUUACUGAAUGGUUUGAUGGGAUUAGAUCAAUGGUUAGAAAGUUAAGUUAAAAUUUAAGUAAAAAAAAAAUUAAGUUAGGGGAUCCGGUCCCAUAUAUAUGAUCUAUUUUUAUUUUUUUGCUGGCAUGUGAUGUAACUACAUGAGAAGUUAUAAACAUCAGAAUCAACUCUUUCCACUCCUUCAGGUAUGAAGGUUUCCAGAGAAUGAGAAUUCUUCCCUUGACAAUGCAACAGAUAAUCCAUAUUCGAGCAAUAAAUAUUAUCAUCACCGUCAUCGAACAUGAGUGGUGGCGGUUGUCGCAGCUUAGCUACAAAGAAAUUGUGUUGUAAAUAAUAAGAUAUCACAAGGUUAAAUUCUUGGGAAGUGAUUCGUGUUCAGAGAGACCUUCUUAUUUCUUCUAAAGAUCAAUUUUAAAAUCAGAUUCAAAGAUACCGAGAUCUGACUUUAGGUUCCGAUUUCUGGUAAUUUUAAAGUUGAACUUGUUUAAUUAUCAAAGCUCAAGAAGUAAUGAUGAUGGCGGUUGUUGCGGUAGCGGCGGUGGUGGAGGAGACCUCCAAAUAAUAAUUCAACUGGUGGUUUUGCGGGUGGUAGUGAUGGUGCUGUUGGAGUUAUUGGUUGAUGUUGGUAUUGGUGGUAGGUCUGUUGGAUUUAGUGGUUGUAUGAUGUUGUUGCAAUGGUGGUAGGUCUGUUGGAGGAUGAUAAUUGUAUCAUUUGGUUGUCUUUUUUAGUGUUUUUAUGAUAUUUUCCUGGGCGUUAAUGACUCUUGGGAGUUUGAAAUAUAUUUGAGCUUCUUAUAUACCGUUUUUGAUAUUUAUGCCAUUUUAGACAUGGAUUUGCAGUUUCAUUUUGCUUGGAUUUUAAUUCUAUCCGGAUAUUCAGUUUCGUAUUAUUUGCAA